GUGUGUGUGUGUGGAGUGUGUGUGUGUGGUGUGUGUGUAUGUGUGUAAAAGGCAACCAGCUGCUGCACUUGUAUCAGGAGUGGGCGCUGCAGCCGUGUCUGGUUUUCCUUCCCACUGGUCAGUGUGGCCCAAUUAGCCAAUCAGCUCUCCUACAAGAGUGUAUCAGUAAACUUUAGUAAGCUGUCAGAGUGUAUAAAUGGGUGGGGUUAAUUAAAUAAUUAAGAACAGAAGUUUGCGUGAAAUCCAGAAACAGACACAGACCUCCCGGAACUGGAUUCCCCACCCUUUCUGUAUAUGUUCCAACCUAAAAAGGCAUAAAUCAAAAUUAAGUAGUUGAUGUCCCUUGUUGCUUGCCGUAGCUGCUGUGGGGAGUGAUUGACAGGAAGAAGGUGCUGGACUGUGGGGCCCUGAGCAGCAGUUUAACUCCCAUUCGUCACAAAUCAGUCCUGCAGACAACCUAAAAUGCUCACUGCCAAAAUGUAGCUAGCUCACCUUCGACAGCUUGACUGUGCAGUUCAGUGUCCUCGCAUGUCCGCGCAUGCAUCUGUGGCUGCCCACAAUUCUGUGCUGUAAUUGCAGGUUUCUUCUAGGAGUGGAGAGUUGGUGCAUUUUUUCUUUUUGCUCCGAGACCUAGUUUCAGGCAGGUCUCCUGGCUGAUAAUCAUUGUUUUGGCAGAAUGUGUAAUUGAAGCGCAGAAAAUGCGAGCGCUAGCCUAGUUAGCUUGGUUGCCUUACCUAGCCUUACAGUAUAGCUUGGUUACCUUCCAGCCUGGUUACGCCGGAGUACCUUAGCUAGCCUAGUUAGUUGGGGUUGCUAACUAGCAUGAUUAGCUGAGCUACCUAAGCUAGCUUGGUUAGCUGGGGUACAUUAGCUAGUCUUGUUAGCUUGGUUGCCUUACUUAGCUUUAUUAACUGGGUUAACAGCCAGCCUGUUUUAGCCCAGAAACCUUUGCUAGCCUGGUUGCGAUGGGUUACCAUAGCUAGCCUACUUAGCUUGGUUACCUUAGCUAGCCUGGUUGCCUAUUUACAAUAACACUAUGAGGCCAAGAAUCGGAGGACAUUAAGGGGUAUUACAGAAACAUUUCCAUUUGCUUUGUCUGAAUGAAACGGUUGGCUGCUGUGAAGCUUCUGGAGCCAGUCAGUCAGAAAAUGGAGCGGCACUUACAUCAGUGAAAUUUGUGUUCCAUGUAAAUAUCGAGCAAAAAGAAAAAAAACAUUUUAUGUUAAGGCCUUCGCAGACCUGAGUUAACCAUUUUACUCGAGAACUAGGCCAGUUCCAUGACAAUGCGUCUGACCGUGAGGGUGAAGGUGCAGGAUUUUCAGUGCUGAACCUGAAUGUAAAGGUGAAUUAAGAUAAGGUAAGAAACUUCACUGUCACUGCUGUGCAAGGCAACAACACAACGAAAUUAAUAACAGAGCUGAACGCUCACAAUGUCCUGAACCUGCGUCUGAGUUCAGUCCUUUUAAUUUUUGGUGAGGUGUUCAUGCAACAGACGGAAGUUUUCACACUAGGAAUUUAGUUUCCAAUCAGGUUCUUUUUUUCAAAUACGCAACAGUCCUCAGACAGGGCGGCUUUAUGAUGAAUCAGCAGGUUGCUGUUUGUAACUGAGGGGGGGAUGCUGAUUGGAGGAUGUAGUUUGGGGAACUGGAUUUGCAGCCCAAAGGUCAGGCUUCUGAGAAUGUACAGCCAUAUUAGUGGACCAUGCGCAAGCUUUCACUGAGGAUGAGGGACUCCGCCAAGCCACUGGAUGAUGGCAGUGCUCUGCAGUGGAGUUUCCACAGAGUCUCUCUGCACUUCUAUAGACCACUGAUUUACCUGUCACUUGCAGGCAUCUUCAGGUGCAUUGUGUUGCAUUCAUUUCUUAACCUUUUAAAGCUGAAGUGCAUUGACCGCCACACAGGUGUGAAAUUUGACGCUAUGGAACCAAAUUGGAAUUGCACCCUUCAAUACUAUCAUUAUUAUUAUUAUCCCAGCCGUGGUGCAUUGCAGCAUGGUUUGGUAAUGUGGCAGAACUCCUGUAGUUCAGACAGGUGCUCCGGCUAGCUCUCCUCACAUCUCCUCACAUCUCACCUGGUUGAGUUUUCUCAGUUAUUUAGACCAGUGAAGACCUCUGGCUCAAAGGCAUUCCUCUUCCUCUGAGCAGAUGUGUGUGUAUGAUCUCCUUCCUGAGCAGAUGUGUGUGUAUGAUCUCCUUCCUGAGCAGAUGUGUGUGUAUGAUCUCCUUCCUGAGCAGAUGUGUGUGUAUGAUCUCCUUCCUGAGCAGAUGUGUGUGUAUGAUCUCCUUCCUGAGCAGACACGUGUGUGUGUAUGUUGUCCUUCCUGAGCAGAUAUGUGUGUAUGAUCUCCUUCCUGAGCAGAUAUGUGUGUUUAAUCUCCUCCUCCUCAUACUGGCUUUUUAAUUGAUCUCUCUUCCUCUCCAGGCAUGGUGUAAUGCUACUUCGCACACCAGCCUCAGAAAGCUGCCUGUCAUUACCGUACAGCCUUGUGUAUAGGUUUCUGUGAAAAAUGGUCAGUCAUUACUGUACUGUGUUGUGUAUAGGUUCUUCCCUCCCUUUGUUGGGUCAGGUUAGUGUCACUUCUUUAUGUUUUUUAAUUAGAUUGUAACCUUUUUGAGCACUGUUAGCAGCCUUGCUCGGUUUAAAAAAUAUUUUUUCUUAAGAUAUUUAUACAUUUUUAUUUUAAUCCAUAAUGUUGAUCCUCUGUGGAAAGCUGCUGCUGCCAUAAUGGAUGUUAUCUGAUGAGUGUGAUGAUGAUGAUGAUGAUGAUGAUAAACUUGUAAAUGUGACUGGGGUUAAAGGUCAUGGAUUCCUGCGUCAGUAUAACAGUGAAGUACACUCAAACGCGGGAGGCCUCUGGUUGCAUAGAAGGGAAAUGCAGUUGUAACAGGUACUUUUUAUUGUUAGUAUUUCUUUUAGGUCGAUUAAUAAUAAAAAAUUAUUAAUUUAAAAGCAGAAA